CACACACACACACAAACGCACCCUCAGACAGACAGUCACACACACACACACACACACACACACACACACACACACACACACACACACACAAGUAAAUACUGAAUAACAAGGCAGAGCCAGGGCAGGACUCUGCUGCAGAGCUGCUGCCCAGUCUGCGGGGGCCUUGGACGCCAUCCUGGCACAAGUGUGGGCUGCAGAAGGAGUUCAGUGUCCUCAGAGGACCCAGCUGCCGGUACUCUCCUAGGCCCCUCACAACCACCUGUAAUUCCAGCACCAUGAAGUCUGACGCCCUCUUCUGGCAUUUGUGGGCACUGCACUCAUGUGCCCAACUCCACACAUACCUACAUACAUACGCACACAGGUAAAGAUAAAAUCAAUGUUUAGAAAGUCGAUCCUCUUCAGGUAGGUUCUUAACCUUAGCUGUCCCUGCAGUGAGGGUCACCUGUGUCCUCAAGGGUGUUGGACAUUGUCUCUAGCUGCCAUUUGCCAGGUGCCAAGCCCCAGGGAGAAUGUCCCCAUGCAUGUCUGGACACAGGUUGGUCCCCAGGGGCUAGAAGGAGGCGAUGUAGCCACUGGCCGAGAAGUACCAGGUACCAGGGCAGUUCAAGCCGGGCCAUGCACUGCAGACCCACCCUGUUUUAUACAAAUGAUACAGGCUUAUACAUACAGGAGCCUGCCUGCUGGACAGCUCACAGGGAGGGCCUGCUGCCCUCCCGGUGGUCUUGAUUUGAUCUCCAAGUCAGCUGUGUGCUGGAAGGAAAGAACUGGUUACUUGGAGCUGUGCUCUGACCUCCACAGGCCGUGGCAUGCACACACACACACACACCCAGAUGUAAAUAAAACCCUGCCGUUGAGAAGGGGACCCUGCAGUUGAGAGCAUUCACUGCUGGACCAGAGUCCAGAUCCCAGCACCCACAUGGGCUACUCACAAAUCCCUGCCACUCCAGGUCUGAGGCACCCAGUACCACCUCUGCCCUCUAGAGUACACACACACACACACACACACACACACACACACACACACACUAGAGUACUUACACACACACACACACACACACACACACACACACACGUGCACGCACACAAA